rnacentral:rRNA from 1 species
GACGAACGCUGGCGGCGUGCCUAACACAUGCAAGUCGAACGGUAAGGGCCUGCACUUGUGGGGUGCGCAAGUGGAGAGCGGGUGAGUGACACGUGUGUGACCUGCCCUUGACUGUGGGAUAACAUCAGUAGAAUGGGGUUCAUACCGCGUAUGAGCUCCUGAUGCACGAGGGGGGUGGGAAAGAUUCGGCGGUUGAGCAUGGACGCGCGGCUUAUCGUCUUCUUGGCGGGGUAGUGGAUUACAAAGGCACUGACGGGUAGCCGGCUUGCGAGGGUGACCGGGCACAAUGGGCCUCGGGUAGGGGCCAGACGGCUACGGGGGGCAGGAGUGGGAAAUAUUGCGCAAUGGGCGGAAGGCUGAUAGAGCGACGCCGGGUGGGGGAUGACGGCCGUCGGGGUGGAAACCGCGUGCGCCUGUGACGAUGCGUGAGUGACGGUAAUGGGUAAAGAAGCGCCGGCUAACUACGUG